GAUGAAGAACGUAGCGAAAUGCGAUAAGUAAUGUGAAUUGCAGAAUUGCAGAAUUCAGUGAAUCAUCGAAUCUUUGAACGCACCUUGCGCUCCUUGGUAUUCCGAGGAGCAUGCCUGUUUGAGUGUCAUUAAAUUCUCAACCUCACCAGUUUUCUGAACUGUUCUUCGAGGCUUGGAUGUGGGGGUUUGUGCAGGCUGCCUCACGGCGGUCCGCUCCCCUGAAAUGCAUAGCGAGUUCAUACUGAACUUCCGUCUAUUGGUGUGAUAAUUAUCUACGCCGUGGACGAGGAUCAGACUCGCUUCUAACCGGCCGCGAGGACAAUACCUUGACAAUUUGACCUCAAAUCAGGUAGGACUACCCGCUGAACUUAAGCAUAUCAAUAAGCGGAGGA
rnacentral:misc_RNA from 1 species